UUUCCAAGAGUUUCAUGGUGAAGAUAUUCAAGUUACUGUUCCUUGGUAUGCUUUUUCAUAAUCGAGAAUCAGGAAAUAUUUUCUAAGGAUUAUUGUAUAUAUCCUAGUAUACAUUGACACUUACAAUGCAAAUCAGGCUGCACUAAGACCUGUGGGUACAGCAUCAAGAUAGAACUUGGCCCUGAAAAGUUUAUCAGAUAAAAUAUUACCUUACUGAUAGCAUCAAAUUCAUGAUUUGUUAUUUUCUUAAAAAGAUUGCUUUGAAGUGUUUGAUUUGAAUGGUGACGGAUUCAUUUCAAAGGAGGAAAUGUUUCACAUGUUGAAGAACAGCCUUCUCAAACAGCCAUCUGAGGAAGACCCUGAUGAAGGAAUUAAAGAUUUGGUUGAAAUAACACUGAAGAAAAUGGAUCAUGACCAUGAUGGGAAGCUGUCUUUUGCAGACUAUGAACUGGCUGUGAGAGAAGACACUCUUCUACUGGAGGCCUUUGGGCCAUGUCUUCCUGAUCCAAAGAGCCAGAUGGAAUUUGAAGCUCAAGUAUUCAAAGAUCCAAAUGAAUUCAAUGAUAUGUGAAUAAC
rnacentral:sRNA from 1 species